rnacentral:rRNA from 1 species
CCUACGGGUGACUGCAGUGAGGAAUAUUGGUCAAUGGCCGCAAGGCUGAACCAGCCAAGUAGCGUGAGGGAUGACUGUCCUAUGGGUUGUAAACCUCUUUUGUCCGGGAGUAAAGGUGUCCACGUGUGGCUGUUUGCAGGUACCUCAUGAAUAAGGACCGGCUAAUUCCGUGCCAGCAGCCGCGGUAAUACGGAGGGUCCGAGCGUUAUCCGGAUUUAUUGGGUUUAAAGGGAGCGUAGGCCGGUAUGUAAGUGAGCCGUGAAAUUUUGGGGCUCAACCCCGAGCGUGCGGUGGAAACUGGCGGUCUUGAGUGAGCGAGAGGUAAGCGGAAUUCGUGGUGUAGCGGUGAAAUGCGUAGAUAUCACGAAGAACUCCGAUUGCGAAGGCAGCCUACCGAAG